UACAGAGGGUGCAAGCGUUGUUCGGAAUUAUUGGGCGUAAAGGGCUCGUAGGCGGUUUGUCGCGUCGGGAGUGAAAACACACAGCUUAACUGUGUGCUUGCUUCCGAUACGGGCAGACUAGAGGUAUGCAGGGGAGAACGGAAUUCCUGGUGUAGCGGUGAAAUGCGCAGAUAUCAGGAGGAACACCGGUGGCGAAGGCGGUUCUCUGGGCAUUACCUGACGCUGAGGAGCGAAAGUGUGGGGAGCGAACAGG
rnacentral:rRNA from 1 species